GUCGGCGUGGCGGAAUAGGCAGACGCUGGAGACUUAAAAUCUCCUCCCCGUAAGGGGGUGAGGGUUCGAGUCCCUCCGCCGACA
rnacentral:tRNA from 2 species